UAGGGAAUCUUCCGCAAUGGGCGAAAGCCUGACGGAGCAACGCCGCGUGAGUGAAGAAGGUCUUCGGAUCGUAAAACUCUGUUAUUAGGGAAGAACAAAUGUGUAAGUAACUAUGCACGUCUUGACGGUACCUAAUCAGAAAGCCACGGCUAACUACGUGCCAGCAGCCGCGGUAAUACGUAGGUGGCAAGCGUUAUCCGGAAUUAUUGGGCGUAAAGCGCGCGUAGGCGGUUUUUUAAGUCUGAUGUGAAAGCCCACGGCUCAACCGUGGAGGGUCAUUGGAAACUGGAAAACUUGAGUGCAGAAGAGGAAAGUGGAAUUCCAUGUGUAGCGGUGAAAUGCGCAGAGAUAUGGGGGAACACCAGUGGCGAAGGCGACUUUCUGGUCUGUAACUGACGCUGAUGUGCGAAAGCGUGGGGAUCAAACAGG
rnacentral:rRNA from 1 species